CAACACGCAUGUUUGAUUCUUCUUCUCAAAAGAACGCAGCUCGAAAACAUAAAAUCCCAAAUUGAUUCUUGUUCUUAUAUUGGUUCAUCCCCAAAUUGAAUCUACUUCUCAAAAUCAAUUCCGGUCGAAAAGAAAACACAAACUGGCGCAUGAUUCUGCUCACAAACUAAACCCUAAUUCGUUUCGUUGUGUUGAUUGUGCUCACAAACUCAGAAAUUGAUUCUUCUCCCUAAACUCAUGAACCCUAAUCCGUUCAGUUGUUGACCUGAGAAAGAUGAAGAAACGCGAUUCAUUCCAAGAAAGCAACAAACCCCAGCCUCAUUAAAAGAAACGCGAUUCCUUCACUACGUGCUUUUCGUCUCGACAAAACGCUAUUCUUUCCUUUCGUUCCGACAUCUAUUCUGGCAAGGUACUCACACUUUGAUUCAUUUUCAAAUCUUAUAUGGGAGGAGAGAAGGGUAGAAAACUCGUUGUUUGUUAUUAGGUGGAGAAUGUGGUUCUCUGCAAGGGGUUUCUCUUUUGCACUAGUUUGUUAUUAAUCCGUAAUAAAGUUUCUAUUAUGCCAUCUUAGGCUAAUGUAAUUUUGAACGGGAGAUGUUUAGAUAAACAGUUUAAUUUUUAUUCAAUAAGCACUUAUUGUGUAAGUGCUUAUGUAUAUCUAUAAUGAGAAAAAAAAAUGAUGGUCACAUAAAAUUCUGAACAAGCUUUUUGAUCAACUGUACUAGGGAGUUUAGUAAACUAAACUUUAACUUGGAUAAUUUUGAAGUAUUUUCUAGCUAUGUCUAAGAAAUAAGAAUAGUGAAACAUUUAUGCUUGUAUUCAAUUUUUUUGGUGGUGCAUAUUGUGUGAAGUUGACGGAGGAGUUUGUCGGGGAUUGGUGGGAGUGAUUUAGGGGAUUUGGGUGAUUGGAGUAUUUUGGAGAGGUGUUAUAUGGAAAGAAUGUUGGUGGCUAAGAUUGCUAUUAGGAGGAGGAGGUUUACAGUCAUGGUGCUGAAGGUGACAUAUCUUCUAUUCGGAGAUUCUUUACAAUUUAGAAAUGCAAAUGUUUUAUUUGUUACCAUUUUUAAUUUAUAGAUUUGGAGCUAUAGAUUUCUAUGGUGCAUAGACAUAUCGAAACAAUUGCUUGAUUGCUGUUGAUGUGCUUACAGGUUUGU
rnacentral:lncRNA from 1 species